GAUUUCUGUUUUGUCACCUGCAGACUUUUGUGUUUGCGCAUGGGGACCCACACGCCGUAUUUUACCACCUCAGUCUUUAUUGUAUGAUUGAGAAAUGGUAUUACUUUGUUGCUGAGGGCCUGCGGUGGUGGUGCUGGUGUCCGGUGGGUGCGUUCCCCUCCUUUUGGUGUGCUGUGUCCCUGGGGAAUUGGUUCACUUCCAGAGUGUGUGUCACGUGUGUUUGGGGUGUUUUUUAAAAAUAUUAUUUUGGGGGUACUUCCUUCACCUCCACUAGCCCCAUCCACCUACCGGCCAGCAACUGAUUAUAGUUCUCUUUUGUUUCUUUUUCUUUUGGCCCCUGGUGUGAAUGGUGUUUAUCUCUUUUUUUAUUCUGCUCUUUUAGAAAAAUUAUAAUAAAUUGUUUUAAAUUUGGA